UGGGGAAUAUUGGACAAUGGGCGAAAGCCUGAUCCAGCCAUGCCGCGUGUGUGAAGAAGGCCUUAUGGUUGUAAAGCACUUUAAGCGAGGAGGAGGCUACUUUAGUUAAUACCUAGAGAUAGUGGACGUUACUCGCAGAAUAAGCACCGGCUAACUCUGUGCCAGCAGCCGCGGUAAUACAGAGGGUGCAAGCGUUAAUCGGAAUUACUGGGCGUAAAGCGCGCGUAGGUGGUUCGUUAAGUUGAAUGUGAAAGCCCCGGGCUCAACCUGGGAACUGCAUCCAAAACUGGCGAGCUAGAGUAGGGCAGAGGGUGGUGGAAUUUCCUGUGUAGCGGUGAAAUGCGUAGAUAUAGGAAGGAACACCAGUGGCGAAGGCGACCACCUGGGCUCAUACUGACACUGAGGUGCGAAAGCGUGGGGAGCAAACAGG
rnacentral:rRNA from 1 species